rnacentral:rRNA from 1 species
GAUGAACGCUGGCGGCGUGCCUAAUACAUGCAAGUCGAGCGAACGGACGAGAAGCUUGCUUCUCUGAUGUUAGCGGCGGACGGGUGAGUAACACGUGGAUAACCUACCUAUAAGACUGUGAUAACUUCGGGAAACCGGAGCUAAUACCGGAUGAUAUUUUGAACCGCAUGGUUCAAAAGUGAAAGACGGUCUUGCUGUCACUUAUAGAUUGAUCCGCGCUGCAUUAGCUAGUUGGUAAGGUAACGGCUUAACAAGGCAACGAUGCAUAGCCGACCUGAGAGGGAGAUCGGCCACACUGGAACUGAGAAACGGUCCAGACUCCGACGGGAGGAAGCAGUAGGGAAUCUUACGCGAGGGGCGAAAGCCUGACGGAGCAACGCCGCGGGAGUGAUGAAGGUCUUCGGAUCGUAAAACUAUGUUAUUAGGGAAGAACAUAUGUGUAAGUAACUGUGCACAUCUUGACGGUACCUAAUCAGAAAGCCACGGCUAACUACGUG